rnacentral:rRNA from 1 species
CCUACGGGAGGCAGCAGUGGGGAAUAUUGCACAAUGGGGGAAACCCUGAUGCAGCGACGCCGCGUGAGUGAAGAAGUAUUUAGGUAUGUAAAGCUCUAUCAGCAGGGAAGCAAAUGACGGUACCUGAUUCAGAAGCCCCGGCUAACUACGUGCCAGCAGCCGCGGUAAUACGUAGGGAGCAGGCGUGAUCCGGAUUUACUGGGUGUAAAGGGAGCGUAGACGGCAGCACAAGUCUGGAGUGAAAUGCCGGGGCUUAACCCCCGACGUGCCUUGGAAACUGUGCCGCUAGAGUGCAGGAGAGGUAAGUGGAAUGCCUGGUGUAGCGGUGAAAUGCGUAGAUAUUAGGCAGAACACCAGUUGCGAAGGCGGCUUACUGGAGUGUAACUGACGUUGAGGCUCGAAAGCGUGGGGAGCAAACAGGAUUAGAUACCCUUGUAGUC